rnacentral:tRNA from 1 species
CGCGGGAUAGAGCAGCAGCAGCUCGCCGGGCUCAUAACUCGGAGGUCGUGUGGUGCAAGUCCCACUCCCGCUA